GUGAGGAAUAUUGCUCAAUGGGCGAAAGCCUGAAGCAGCAACGCCGCGUGCACGAUGAAGGCCUUCGGGUCGUAAAGUGCUUUUGAGAGGGACGAGAUAGGACGGUACCUCUCGAAUAAGUCACGGCUAACUACGUGCCAGCAGCCGCGGUAAAACGUAGGUGGCAAGCGUUAUCCGGAUUCACUGGGCGUAAAGCGCGUGCAGGUGGCUUCGUAAGUUGGACGUUAAAUCUUUCGGCUUAACCGGGAGUGGUCGUUCAAUACUGCGGGGCUUGAGGGCAGAAGAGGGGGGUGGAAUUGCCGGUGUAGUGGUGAAAUGCGUAGAUAUCGGCAGGAACACCUGUGGCGAAAGCGGCCCCCUGGUCUGCUCCUGACACUCAGACGCGAAAGCCAGGGUAGCGAACGGGAUUAGAAACCCUUGUAGUCC
rnacentral:rRNA from 1 species